UUCACCGACGUCACCGCGGUGGAUUAUCCGGGCCGCGAGAACCGCUUCGACGUGAUCUAUCAUCUCAUGUCGCUGGUGCUGAACACCCGCAUCCGCCUGAGCGGCGAAGCCAACGAGACCACCCAGGUGCCGUCGAUCAUCGGCGUGUUUCCCGGCGCGGACUGGUUCGAGCGCGAGACCUACGAUCUCUAUGGCGUAAUCUUCGUCGGCCAUCCCGAUAUG
rnacentral:misc_RNA from 1 species